rnacentral:rRNA from 1 species
UAACCUAGCGGCGGACGGGUGAGUAACACGUAGGCAACCUGCCCACAAGACAGGGAUAACUACCGGAAACGGUAGCUAAUACCCGAUACAUCCUUUUCCUGCAUGGGUGAAGGAGGAAAGGCGGAGCAAUCUGUCACUUGUGGAUGGGCCUGCGGCGCAUUAGCUAGUUGGUGGGGUAAAGGCCUACCAAGGCGACGAUGCGUAGCCGACCUGAGAGGGUGAUCGGCCACACUGG